rnacentral:rRNA from 1 species
UUCCUACGGGGAGGCAGCAGUGGGGAAUUUUGGACAAUGGGGGCAAGCCUGAUCCAGCCAUGCCGCGUGAGGGAAGAAGGCCUUCGGGUUGUAAAGCUCUUUUGUCAGGGACGAAACGGUCUGCUCUAAUAUAGCAGGGUAAUGACGGUACCUGAAGAAGAAGCACCGGCUAACUACGUGCCAGCAGCCGCGGUAAUACGUAGGGUGCGAGCGUUAAUCGGAAUUACUGGGCGUAAAGCGUGCGCAGGCGGUUGUGCAAGACAGAUGUGAAAUCCCCGGGCUUAACCUGGGAACUGCAUUUGUGACUGCAAGGCUAGAGUGCGGCAGAGGGGGAUGGAAUUCCGCGUGUAGCAGUGAAAUGCGUAGAUAUGCGGAGGAACACCGA